rnacentral:piRNA from 1 species
UGAGUGCCUGUCUUUUGCUAGGCAGCAUGCUU